rnacentral:rRNA from 1 species
UACGUAGGGUGCAAGCGUUAAUCGGAAUUACUGGGCGUAAAGCGUGCGCAGGCGGCUUUGCAAGUCAGAUGUGAAAUCCCCGGGCUUAACCUGGGAACUGCAUUUGUGACUGCAUGGCUGGAGUGCGGCAGAGGAGGAUGGAAUUCCGCGUGUAGCAGUGAAAUGCGUAGAUAUGCGGAGGAACACCGAUGGCGAAGGCAAUCCCCUGGGCCUGCACUGACGCUCAUGCACGAAAGCGUGGGGAGCAAACGGG